rnacentral:rRNA from 1 species
GUCCUAAGGUAGCGAAAUUCCUUGCGGGGUAAGUUCCCGCCUGCACGAAAGGCGUAACGAUCUGGGCACUGUCUUGGAGAGAAUCUCGGUGAAAUAAACAUAUCUGUGAAGAUGCGGAUUAUUUAUACCUGGACAGAAAGACCCUAUGAAGCUUGACUGUAAUUUGUGAUUGGAUCUGGGCUUCUCUUGCGCAGUCUAAGUGGGAGGCAUUGAUGAAUUCUUUUCGGGGAAUUCUGAGCCGAUAUUGAGAGACCACUCUGGAAAAGUUAAGAUUCUAAAGAUAUUCCUUGAAUCAGGAUAUCUGACAGUCUCAGGUGGACAGUUUCACUGGGGCGGUGACCUCCUAAAGAGUAACGGAGGUGUACAAAGGUUCCUUCAAGCUGGACGGAAAUCAGCUGAAGAGUGCAAAGGCAAAAGGGAGCUUGACUGCAAGACUUACAAGUCAAGCAGAGACGAAAGUCGGUCUUAGUGAUCCGACGGUUCCGAGUGGAAGGGCCGUCGCUCAACGGAUAAAAGUUACUCUAGGGAUAACAGGCUGAUCUUCCCCAAGAGUUCAUAUCGACGGGAAGGUUUGGCACCUCGAUGUCGGCUC